GAUGAACGCUGGCGGCGGGCCUAACACAUGCAAGUCGAGCGGCAGCGAGGGGUGCUUGCACUCUGUCGGGGGGCGGCGGACGGCUGAGGAACGCGUGCUAACGUGCUCUAAGGGGAGGAAUAACGGCACGAAGGGGUAGAUAAUACCACAUAAUAUCUUGCGUUCAAAAUAUUUAUCCGCUAUGGGAGCGACUCGCGGCGGAUUGCGUAGUUGGUGAGGUAAUGGCGCAACAAGCCGACGAGCCGUCGCUCGUUUGAGAGCAUGACCAGCCAGCCUGGAACUGCGACACGGACCAGACUCCUACGGUAGGCAGCAGUGAGGAAUCUUACCCAAUCAGCGAACGCCUGAUGGAGCAAUGCCGCGUGCAGGAAGAAGCCCUUCGGCUUGUAAACUGCUUUUAUAAGUGAGGAAUCUGACGGUACCUUAUGAAUAAGCAUCGGCUAACUCCGUG
rnacentral:rRNA from 1 species